rnacentral:rRNA from 1 species
GACGAACGCUGGCGGCGUGCCUAAUACAUGCAAGUCGAACGCAGUGGGGACGGGUGAGUAACACGUGGGUAACCUCCCAUCAGAGGGGAUAACACUUGGAAACAGGUGCUAAACCGAUACUGAUGGAUGAACCAGCGGUGCAUUAGCUAGUUGGUGAGGUAACGGCUCACCAAGGCCACGAUGCAUAGCCGACCUGAGAGUGUGUUCGGACACACUUGGACUGAGAAACGGCCCAUACGCCGACGGUAGGCAGCAGUAGGGAAUCUUCGGCAAUGGACGAAAGUCUGACCGAGCAACGCCGCGUGAGUGAAGAAGGUUUUCGGAUCGUAAAACUCUGUUGUUAGAGAAGCGUUAUCUAACCAGAAAGCCACGGCUAACUACGUGCCAGCAGCCGCGGUAAUUC